GACGUGGAGGCUUGGGGGCUCGUUGGGGCUGCACGGCGCGGAGGCUUGGUGGCUCGCUGGGGCUGGACGACUCAGAGGCUCGAUAGGUCUAUAUUGAGAUGCAUUUCUUUGGCGCAAUACUAGACAACAUUGACAGUUGAAGUUUUUAGAAUAAAAAAUAUAUCUCACUAGCAUUGUAUACAUUUCUUGUUUAAUAUUUGGUGAUGAUAAAAUUUGAUUGUAGUAUAAACUAUCAUGUUGUAUGAUUUUGUAAGCCGAGUAGACUAAAUACUGAAAUGAUAUUUUUGAGUAAUUAAUAAAAAAUUAUUUUGUUGUA